CAGCUACUGGUCUAUUAGUCAGAUAUGGGUGGAAUGGUGAUGGUAAUCAUGAACACCCAUCAAAUUCAGUUAUGUCUGGCUGGAUACCAGUC